GACGAACGCUGGCGGCGUGCUUAACACAUGCAAGUCGAACGGAAAGGCCCUGCUUUUGUGGGGUGCUCGGGUGGCGAACGGGUGAGUAACACGUGAGUAACCUGCCCUUGACUUUGGGAUAACUUCAGGAAACUGGGGCUAAUACCGGAUAGGAGCUCCUGCUGCAUGGUGGGGGUCGGAAAGUUUCGGCGGUUGGGGAUGGACUCGCGGCUUAUCAGCUUGUUGGUGGGGUAGUGGCUUACCAAGGCUUUGACGGGUAGCCGGCCUGAGAGGGUGACCGGCCACAUUGGGACUGAGAUACGGCCCAGACUCCUACGGGAGGCAGCAGUGGGGAAUAUUGCACAAUGGGCGGAAGCCUGAUGCAGCAACGCCGCGUGCGGGAUGACGGCCUUCGGGUUGUAAACCGCUUUCGCCUGUGACGAAGCGUGAGUGACGGUAAUGGGUAAAGAAGCACCGGCUAACUACGUG
rnacentral:rRNA from 1 species